rnacentral:rRNA from 1 species
GUGGGGAAUAUUGGGCAAUGGGCGAAAGCCUGACCCAGCAACGCCGCGUGAAGGAAGAAGGUUUUCGGAUCGUAAACUUCUAUCCUUGGUGAAGAUAAUGACGGUAGCCAAGAAGGAAGCCCCGGCUAACUACGUGCCAGCAGCCGCGGUAAUACGUAGGGGGCAAGCGUUGUCCGGAAUGAUUGGGCGUAAAGGGCGCGUAGGCGGCCCGGUAAGUCUGAAGUGAAAGUCCUGCUUUUAAGGUGGGAAUUGCUUUGGAUACUGUCGGGCUUGAGUGCAGGAGAGGUAAGCGGAAUUCCCGGUGUAGCGGUGAAAUGCGUAGAGAUCGGGAGGAACACCAGUGGCGAAGGCGGCUUACUGGACUGUAACUGACGCUGAGGCGCGAAAGUGUGGGGAGCAAACAGGAUUAGAUACCCCUGUGUCC